rnacentral:rRNA from 1 species
GAGGAAAAGAAACUAACAAGGAUUCCCCUAGUAACUGCGAGUGAAGCGGGAAAAGCUCAAAUUUAAAAUCUGGUAGUCUUUGGCUGCCCGAGUUGUAAUCUAGAGAAGUGCUAUCCGCGUUGGACCGUGUAUAAGUCUCCUGGAAUGGAGCGUCAUAGAGGGUGAGAAUCCCGUCUUUGACACGGACUACCAGGGCUUUGUGAUGYGCUCUCAAAGAGUCGAGUUGUUUGGGAAUGCAGCUCUAAAUGGGUGGUAAAUUCCAUCUAAAGCUAAAUAUUGGCGAGAGACCGAUAGCGAACAAGUACCGUGAGGGAAAGAUGAAAAGAACUUUGGAAAGAGAGUUAAACAGUACGUGAAAUUGUUGAAAGGGAAACGCUUGAAGUCAGUCGCAUUGGUCAGGGAUCAACCUUGCUUUUGCUUGGUGUACUUCCUGACUGAUGGGUCAGCAUCAAUUUUGACUGGUGGAUAAAGGUCGAGGAAAUGUGGCAUCUUUGGAUGUGUUAUAGUCUUCGGUCAUAUACAUCAGUUGGGAUUGAGGAACUCAGCAUGCCGCAAGGCCAGGGUUUUACCCAUGUACGUGCUUAGGAUGUUGGCAUAAUGGCUUUAAUCGACCCGUCUUGAA